GCCCGCGUAGCUCAGUGGAUAGAGCGUCUGCCUCCGGAGCAGAAGGUCGUAGGUUCGAAUCCUGUCGCGGGCACAA
rnacentral:tRNA from 9 species